AUUGAACGCUGGCGGCAGGCCUAACACAUGCAAGUCGAACGAGUGGCGGACGGGUGAGUAAUGUAUGGGAAACUGCCUGAUGGAGGGGGAUAACUACUGGAAACGGUAGCUAAUACUGCAUACCAUAAGAUGAGCCAAGAUGGGAUUCGCUAGUGGGUGGGGUAACGGCUCACCAAGGCGACGAUCCCUAGCUGGUCUGAGAGGAUGAGCAUCCACAUGGGGACUGAGACACGGCCCAGCCUCCUACGGGAGGCAGCAGUGGGGAAUAUUGCACAAUGGGCGCAAGCCUGAUGCAGCCAUGCCGCGUGUAUGAAGAAGGCCUUCGGGUUGUAAAGUACUUUCAGUCGGGAGGCGUUACCCGCAGAAGAAGCACCGUCUAACGCCGUGCCAGCAGCCGCGGUAAUAC
rnacentral:rRNA from 1 species